rnacentral:rRNA from 1 species
GACCAGACUCCUACGGGAGGCAGCAGUGGGGAAUAUUGCACAAUGGGGGAAACCCUGAUGCAGCGACGCCGCGUGAGCGAUGAAGUAUUUCGGUAUGUAAAGCUCUAUCAGCAGGGAAGAAAAUGACGGUACCUGACCAAGAAGCCCCGGCUAACUACGUGCCAGCAGCCGCGGUAAUACGUAGGGGGCAAGCGUUAUCCGGAUUUACUGGGUGUAAAGGGAGCGUAGACGGCAAUGCAAGCCAGAUGUGAAAGCCCGGGGCUCAACCCCGGGACUGCAUUUGGAACUGUGUAGCUGGAGUGUCGGAGAGGCAGGCGGAAUUCCUAGUGUAGCGGUGAAAUGCGUAGAUAUCAGGAGGAACACCGGUGGCGAAGGCGGCCUGCUGGACUGCAACUGACGUUGAGGCCCGAAAGCGUGGGGAGCAAACAGGAUUAGAUACCCCGGUA